rnacentral:tRNA from 4 species
GGUAAGAUGGCUGAGUUAGGCGCUGGAUUGUAGUCCCAUGAACAGAGGUUUGAGCCCUCUUCUUAUCA